UACAGAGGGUGCAAGCGUUAAUCGGAAUUACUGGGCGUAAAGCGUGCGUAGACGGUCAUGUAAGUCGGGUGUGAAAGCCCCGGGCUCAACCUGGGAAUUGCAUUCGAGACUGCAUGGCUAGGAUGCGGAAGAGGGAAGCGGAAUUUCCGGUGUAGCGGUGAAAUGCGUAGAUAUCGGGAGGAACACCGGUGGCGAAGGCGGCGACCUGGGUAGAUACUGACGCUGAGGUGCGAAAGCGUGGGGAGCAAACAGG
rnacentral:rRNA from 1 species